rnacentral:rRNA from 1 species
AGUGAACGCUGGCGGUAGGCCUAACACAUGCAAGUCGAACGGCAGCACAGUAAGAGCUUGCUCUUACGGGUGGCGAGUAGCGGACGGGUGAGGAAUACAUCGGAAUCUACUUUUUCGUGGGGGAUAACGUAGGGAAACUUACGCUAAUACCGCAUACGACCUACGGGUGAAAGCAGGGGAUCUUCGGACCUUGCGCGAUUGAAUGAGCCGAUGUCGGAUUAGCUAGUUGGCGGGGUAAAGGCCCACCAAGGCGACGAUCCGUAGCUGGUCUGAGAGGAUGAUCAGCCACACUGGAACUGAGGCACGGUCCAGACUCCUACGGGAGGCAGCAGUGGGGAAUAUUGGACAAUGGGCGCAAGCCUGAUCCAGCCAUACCGCGUGGGUGAAGAAGGCCUUCGGGUUGUAAAGCCCUUUUGUUGGGAAAGAAAAGCAGCAGGUUAAUACCCCGCUGUUCUGACGGUACCCAAAGAAUAAGCACCGGCUAACUUCGUG